AUUUUUAAAAGUUAUUGUGAAUUAUAUUAUUUCCCUUUUUAUUUUGUCAUUGGUACCUUGGAAGGCUAAUAGUUUUGUCUUAAUUUUGUAUCGUGCCGCUUUGCUGCCUGCAUUUGUCAGUUGUAAGGGUUUUCUGGUGGAGUCUUUAGGGUCUCAUAGAGGGACCCUGACAUCUGCAGGCAGUGCUCUUCUGACUCUGUUUUACUUGUGUCCUUUACUUCUUUGUCGUACUGCUUGAGCUAGCACUUUACUGAAUUGAGGGUAAAGAGGGGUGUGAGCAUCCUUUCCUCGUUCCUGAUUUCAGUACACAGGCUUAACCUCCCCUGUUUAACAUAAUAUUGUCUGUUUGUCAUAUUUUGUCUUUAUUAUGCUGAACUAUGUUCUUUCUACUCUGAGUUUCUUUAAGACUGCUGUCAUGAAGGAAUGUUGGAUAUUGUCAGAUGCCUUUUCUAUGAUCCAAUUAUCAAUGGAUAUUUCUAGUAUCUUUGAGUACAUUUAUGUAAUUUAUAACAUUCACUGAAUUACCCAUAUUUGACCAUCUUUGUAUCUCCAAAAUAAACCCAACCUUUCUUG
rnacentral:lncRNA from 1 species